AAGACACUAGUAAAACCAGCUAUUACAUCACCUUGUCGAGGCGAAAUUGUGGGUUAAACCCCCGCGUGUCUUA
rnacentral:tRNA from 1 species